UCCGUAGGCGGGCAAUUAAGUCAGAGGUGAAAUCCCACAGCUCAACUGUGGAACUGCCUUUGAUACUGGUUGUCUUGAGUUAUAGUGAAGUAGAUAGAAUAUGUAGUGUAGCGGUGAAAUGCAUAGAUAUUACAUAGAAUACCGAUUGCGAAGGCAGUCUACUAACUGUACACUGACGCUGAUGGACGAAAGCGUGGGGAGCGAACAGGAUUAGAUACCAUGGUAGUCC
rnacentral:rRNA from 1 species